rnacentral:lncRNA from 1 species
CCUGAAUUCCAAUGGGAGGAGAAUAUAAUGAGACCUAUAUGAAUUAUGAGAAACCAGGCUGCAAACACUGGUCAGCCUCCAAGGACAUAUUUUCAAACAGCCACUUCCAAUGUAACCAGUGAGUAUAACAGCAAGAAGACAUUCUCAGAAGGUGGACCUGGGGGCAUGGAGACCAACUGAAUGGAGAGGAGCUGUUACAAUACGGAAUCAGACCUGAUCAAGGCCUGUCACCACCUCCUGAUGAGGCCUUCACAAUGUCUACCCUGAGGGAUUUCAGAACUGCUAAGUGCCGUCUCCCAUUCCUCCCCUUUCUGAAUGAAAGUGUUGUUUAUUCCCAGGUCCAACAUUCUAUAUUAGAUACGUGUGGGGGAAGCAGGUAAAAAACAAGGGACACCAUUGUGGCCAAAGGAACAGGUAAAAAAUAUAAAGUGUCAUAAAUUUGGAACCAUCUCACUUUAACGGCAUGACUAUGAGCUUCCAGAUCAGUGACUCCCUGUUUGCCUUAGUGGUGUAUAAAUUAGAAUCCUAUUUGGAAAAUAAAGCUGUUUCUACUAGAAUAUGAUCCAUGACUUCUGUAAACAUUGUAAAAUAUCAUUGUUGACAAUCUGCCAUCUGGCAUUAUCACAGUCUCUUAAGAAUGUGAAUCUUUUUGUAAAGUCCUGUAAACUGUGUUUUUCAAUAUCUUCACUUGAAGACCAAUAUGAUGGAUUUUUGAUAAUGAUCAUAAGUUUUGAUAUAGCCCCUUUUAGACAGCA